rnacentral:rRNA from 1 species
AGUGAACGCUGGCGGUAGGCCUAACACAUGCAAGUCGAACGGCAGCACAGUAAGAGCUUGCUCUUACGGGUGGCGAGUGGCGGACGGGUGAGGAAUACAUCGGAAUCUACUUUUUCGUGGGGGAUAACGUAGGGAAACUUACGCUAAUACCGCAUACGACCUACGGGUGAAAGCAGGGGAUCUUCGGACCUUGCGCGAUUGAAUGAGCCGAGGUCGGAUUAGCUAGUUGGCGGGGUAAAGGCCCACCAAGGCGACGAUCCGUAGCUGGUCUGAGAGGAUGAUCAGCCACACUGGAACUGAGACACGGUCCAGACUCCUACAGGAGGCAGCAGUGGGGAAUAUUGGACAAAGGGCGCAAGCCUGAUCCAGCCAUACCGCGUGGGUGAAGAAGGCCUUCGGGCUGUAAAGCCCUUUUGUUGGGAAAGAAAAGCAGCAGGUUAAUACCCCGCUGUUCUGACGGUACCCAAAGAAUAAGCACCGGCUAACUUCGUG